rnacentral:rRNA from 1 species
CCUACGGGAGGCAGCAGUAGGGAAUAUUGCACAAUGGGCGAAAGCCUGAUGCAGCAACGCCGCGUGCGGGAAGAAGGCCCUAGGGUUGUAAACCGCUUUCAGCAGGGAAGAAAAUGACGGUACCUGCAGAAGAAGGUGCGGCCAACUACGUGCCAGCAGCCGCGGUGACACGUAGGCACCAAGCGUUGUCCGGAUUUAUUGGGCGUAAAGAGCUCGUAGGCGGUUCAGUAAGUCGGGUGUGAAAACUCUGGGCUCAACCCAGAGACGCCACUCGAUACUGCUGUGACUCGAGUGCGGUAGGGGAGCGGGGAAUUCCUAGUGUAGCGGUGAAAUGCGCAGAUAUUAGGAGGAACACCAGUGGCGAAGGCGCCGCUCUGGGCCGUAACUGACGCUGAGGAGCGAAAGCGUGGGUAGCAAACAGGAUUAGAUACCCUGGUAGUCCACGCCGUAAACGUUGGGCACUAGGUGUGGGUCUCAACCAACGAGAUCCGCGCCGUCGCUAACGCAUUAAGUGCCCCGCCUGGGGAGUACGGCCGCAAGGCUAAAACUCAAAGGAAUUGACGG